UACGAAGGGGGCUAGCGUUGCUCGGAAUCACUGGGCGUAAAGGGUGCGUAGGCGGGUUCUUAAGUCAGAGGUGAAAUCCUGGAGCUCAACUCCAGAACUGCCUUUGAUACUGAGAGUCUUGAGUUCGAGAGAGGUGAGUGGAACUGCGAGUGUAGAGGUGAAAUUCGUAGAUAUUCGCAAGAACACCAGUGGCGAAGGCGGCUCACUGGCUCGAUACUGACGCUGAGGCACGAAAAGCGUAGGGAGCAAACAGG
rnacentral:rRNA from 1 species